GUACGGGGCGGGCAGAGGGACAGUGAGGAUAGGUGGCGGUAGUGGUAGUGGUGGUGGUGGUGGCGCUGGGGUAGGAAGGGCGGCUCGAGUGUUUUGGUCGUCAUUGAUCAGUUUUGCCACACACACUUUAGAGACCAGUGUUUCCAUAUUCCCGGCAGCUUCUUCCUACAUCAAACAACACCUAGCAGCAUCAGAGAGACACGACUGCAUAAGGAGCCUGUACUGGAGAAUAAUGCAUAUGGCGUGCGCUGCCUAUCUGCCUUGCAUCCCUUCCCUGCGUCCCUCAGUCAUCAUCCCUGCAGCCGUGAGACGCGUGCAGACAGCAGCUCACCGAGGCCCUAAUGACUACAGGUCCCCUUGCCGCUAGCUGCUUCCAUCUACCUCGUUCUGUACGCUGCAUACGGCUCACUGUGUCUCCGUGUGUCCGUGGCUCCCCAAUGCUGCACUGACUGCCGGGGAAUUUAUGAGGAGUGAUUAAGGUUUGUGAUGAGAUGAGGGGAGGUGUGGCGCGCCCGAGUGUGCGGAGGGAGGGUAAGGGUUGGGGAAGUGAUUUGUCUGUGGUAAUGAGUGUGUUGCGAUGAGUUGAGGUGUGUUGAAGUGCAUUGUUGGUUGAGAUGUGGUGUGUUUGUGUUGUGGUGAGAUGUGGUGUGUUUGGGUGUGUCUGAGUGUGUUGUAUUGUAUGAGGAUGUUAAAUAAGUGCGUUGUGGUGAUCUUGGGUGUGUUUGAGUGUGCUUUGGUGGUGUGAGGAUGUUUUUUUCAUGUAUUAGUUGCUUUGGUGGUGUGAGGAUGUUUCUUUCAUGUAUUAGUUGCGGUGUUGUGUGGUGCAUCUGAGUGUAUUGUAUUGCGGCGGUGUGCUGUGAUUUGAUUAGUGUAGCGUCAUGAAGUGCGGUGUGGUGUGAAGUUUCCCAGUAACAUGCUUGGCGAGGAUCAGCGUGCGUUAGAGUGAGCUGUUGUUAAUUACUGCUUUGUUAUGAAAAGUGACACGAGACUUGUAAUGCCAAGCGUCCGAUGUGUGGGAGUGCGAUGACAUGGAGAAAAAGUGUGUUAAAUCCUUGUCACACGAUCAUUGGGUAAGUGUGGUGAUUCUAUACAAGAGUGGGGAAUACGUGGAGACAUCAUGCAGACGUGCGGGACUGAGAUCCGUAUUCUGAACACUUGUGGCCGCACCUCCACUAUUCAAAAGGCUCUAGUUUAAGUGACACGGGUUUUUUAAGGAUGGUUUAGCUCUUUUUACGAUUCUAGUGACAAGAUUGGCAAGAUUUCUACAUUAUUAACAGGAGAACACUCUUAAGAACCCAGUUAAUCAUCUCUGUGGCCUUGGAAAAUAGUUGUUGAGAGAGCAGAGCGUUUCUGAAUAUGGACCUCAGUGAAGCACCACCAUCCUUGCUCGAGUAGGUUCGUCAGUGAUGUAAAACUCCAACUGAACCACGCUCCUCAGGGAAACUAGUGUGAGAGGCGUGCUUGACCCCCCACACUCGCCCACUGAUCGAGUGACAAGGCCACUAUGGCUGAUUGCACUUGUGUAUGACUUUUUUGAUGUGCAUUAUAAUGAAGUGUGGCGUGAGAUUUGUGAUGUGGAAUGUCCGAUGUGAAGGUUAGAGGUAAUGUGAAGUACAGUGUCAUGGUUGUGUUGUGAGAUGUGAGGUUUCCAGGCUAUGAGAUUUAAGGUGUUUGUGAGGGAAGCAGCAUUGCAUUCUAAGAUCUGAGCAGCGUUUGAGAUGUAAUCCAUGGCUUAGACUGAUUAAAAAAUAAACAGGUUGGAAAUGAAAUGGCCCCGAUUAUCAUCUAAAUGUAAUCCAGGAAACGAGCGUCACUAAAUAUGCAUCUAAUAGGCAUAGAUUUAUUCCGCAUUAGCAGCAAUGCCAUUGAUAACUGAAUUACCUGAGUUAUAAGCAACGCAUUGCAUAAUUACCUAAGGCAAACCUAAUUUUACUGAGGAUUCAGAAACGGAGAGAGAGAGAGAGAGAGAGAGAGAGAGAGAGAGAGAGGAGAGGAGAGGAGAGGAAAAGAGAGGAGAGGAGAGUGCACAAUGCCUACCUCGGUAACAGGGUCGUCAGGUCACAUAAUUAGAACACCUUGUUUGUGCGAUCGGCGGUGGGCCGUGCGUGACAAGCACAGCCCAGGUAAUACACCCUUGUGAGUGUCUCGAGCAAGUGACGGUGCAGGGUAACAAUGAGGAGGAGGAGAAGAUGGUGGAGGACUAGGAGGAAGAGGAGGAGGAGGAUAGGCCGGCGGGAGGGGCAGCGUGAGUGGAGGAGGAGUAGUGGUGGAGGGUCUCAGUGGUAUGUUUGCGGGUGAAGCGAGCGGACGUGUUAGCUCCAAGCGCGCUCUCUAUUUCUCUCUCUUCUGCUCCCUCUUACUCCGUUCCCAAUAGCGGUCGCCAGUCCAAGAAGAGAGAGAGAGGGAGAGAGCCACGCUGUCCGUUCAGGAAAGAUUAUGUAGAGGCGCCACCAGCAGCCUUCGUCAUUAACACAGCAUCAGGCCUCCUCCCGGGCGGGCGUGGCGUUACCCUCCCUGCUGGUGCCGAGGCGAGAUGUUUGGACUGAGCCGAUGGUUCUUGUCCCUGGAAUCGUGACUGUGCUAGCGUCCUCGCUGUGUCACUCUGUCGUGUUCCAGUCAUUCUGACAGUCAGGGAAAUGUGAUUGGUUGUGAUUGAAACUCCCUUUGGAAAAAAUAGAUAAAUUCCUAGAAAGAAAAGAAGGAAAAUAAAAUAAUACAUUGCACCCUUGAGGAACGAAGAGAUGUGGGCUCCAUAUUUGUACGUGCAACACUACACCUGGUGCAUAUCUUGGUGAAGUGAUUAGUGAUAGUAAGAAAGAGUGUUACCUUUAUGAACUAGUGCGUAAAUCACCUGCUUUAAUCACCCCACUAAUGACUCGCUCACCUUCCUCUCGCUGGUGAACGUAAUGUGGUGAUUCUAUAGUGAAGUAUAAUCAGUAGAACUCUUUGAUAGUGACCGCCUUUCACCAUUCACCGGAACAACCCUCCUCCUGCUGAAGAAUCACAAGAGAGAAGAUAGUGGCUUUAGAAACGUGUAUAAAGAGACCAAAACCCUAUGCACCAUCCCUCUAUAGUUUUACAUAUCGCCUAGAAACACGCUAUAAGUAAUAUAACAGUACCUAGUAAAUAUAGUGAGAGAUACGAAACACCACCACCACCACCACUACCACCACCACCACCACCACUACCACCACCACCACCACCACCACCACCACCUCCUUAACCAAGCAUCACCAGCAGAGAGAACAAAGACACAGUGAGAGAAAGAGAAGCAAAACACCGCCAGCAUCAUCACCAAGAGGAUUACAAGCGGUGAAAUCAAAUAAUCGUUAGCAGUUUACACUCCGCCAUCAUUAGGAAGAUAAGGAAGCAUAGAGGGGGAGGAGGACGCCCCUCUACACCACCGCCACCACCACACAGACACAGGGACGCAAGACCAGCAUCACCACCGGCCAAGAUGGAGGCAGAAACAGGCUCUAUUGGGGAGCUGCAGAAGUACCACAGUCGCCUGCUCCGCUCCAGGCGCCACACCCUCGCGAAUGUCCGGUGAGUGUGUAUGUGUGUGUGUGUGUGUGUGUGUGUGUGUGUGUGUG